UGGGGAAUUUUGGACAAUGGGGGAAACCCUGAUCCAGCCAUCCCGCGCGUGCGAUGAAGGCCUUCGGGUUGUAAAGCACUUUUGGCAGGAAAGAAACGUCGCGGGUUAAUACCCCGCGAAACUGACGGUACCUGCAGAAUAAGCACCGGCUAACUACGUGCCAGCAGCCGCGGUAAUACGUAGGGUGCAAGCGUUAAUCGGAAUUACUGGGCGUAAAGCGUGCGCAGGCGGUUCGGAAAGAAAGAUGUGAAAUCCCAGAGCUUAACUUUGGAACUGCAUUUUUAACUACCGGGCUAGAGUGUGUCAGAGGGAGGUGGAAUUCCGCGUGUAGCAGUGAAAUGCGUAGAUAUGCGGAGGAACACCGAUGGCGAAGGCAGCCUCCUGGGAUAACACUGACGCUCAUGCACGAAAGCGUGGGGAGCAAACAGGAUUAGAUACCCUGGUAGUCCACGCCCUAAACGAUGUCAACUAGCUGUUGGGGCCUUCGGGCCUUGGUAGCGCAGCUAACGCGUGAAGUUGACCGCCUGGGGAGUACGGUCGCAAGAUUAAAACUCAAAUGAAUUGAC
rnacentral:rRNA from 1 species